ensembl:miRNA Mir6918 microRNA 6918
UCUUGUGCUGAGGACGGGAUUAGGUUCUCUGAAGAAUGAGCCUGUGCCCUUCUCACAG